AAACAGAAUCUGUGUUGGCGUGCAGGGAGCAGGCAGCGUCUGCAAAGUAGCGCUGGCAACCACAACAGAGAGGCCAGCAACAGGAGGAGCAGGAGUUAGCCAAUGAAGCGUGCUGUGGAGGACAAAGAGCAGCAGAGGCAGGAAGCAGUGACAAGGAGUGAGCUGGGAAAUUCCAGCUGCCCUCCUGUCCUACUUACAAGGAAUAGCCUGGAACAAGUACAGUUGACUCUGAACAAGUCAGGUUUGAACUGCAUGGGUCCACUCAUAUGAAGAUUUCUUUCAACGAAAGCUACCCCGAGUGUGCCUGCCUUUCCUGCCUCCCCUUCCACCUCCUGCACCUCUACCAUCCCUGCCACCCCUAAGACAGCAAGGCCAGUCUCUUCUCUCUCCCCCUCCUCCUUCAGCCUAUUCAACUUGAAGAUGACAAGGAUGAAGAGCUUUAUGAUGAUCUACUUCCCCUUAAUGAACAGUAAAUAUAUUUUUUCUUCCUUACAAUUUUCUUAAUAGCAUUUUCUUUUCUCUAGCUUACCUUAUUGUAAGAAUACAGUGUAUAAUACAUAAAACAUACAAAAUAUGUGUUAAUAAACUGUUUAUGUUAUUGGUAAAGCAUCUGGUCAACAGUAGGCUGUUAGGAAAGUGUGAGGGUAGUCAAAAGUUAAGCUCAGAUUUUUGACUACGCAAGGGUCGGCAUCCCUAAACCCCAAGUUGUUCAAGGUCAACUAUAAUUCCCUAUUACUCCUCACUCUUCCUCCCUCCUUCCUCCUCUUCUUCCUUAUCCCUUCUCCUUCAUUUUCCCCACAGGCUAACUGCAACUCAGCCCACUUCAUUUCCUAAUUUUUCCUCCUCCCUGCAUCCCCCCGAGUCUUUGUGAGAUGCUCUUCCCUUCACUCCUGCCAGCCCUAUGGCAUCAUGGCAUUAUCAUGGUGUAUGGAGAACUUCUGUCUUAUCUGUUUCUCCCACUAACCCAGUGGUUUUCAACUGGAGACAAUUUUGCUCCUCAGGGGACAUUUGGAAAAGUCUGGAGACAUUUUUAAUUGUCACUUCUGGGGAAGGGGGUUGAUACUGUCAUCUACUGAGUAGAAGCCAAGGAUGCUGCUAAACAUCCUACAGUGCACAGGACAGCCCCUCACAAAAAAGGAUUAUCAGGCCCCAAAGGCCAAUAGUGCUAAGGUUGAGAAACUGCACUAGGCUGAGUUCCUUUAAAAUAUGACCCUAUUCAGCGCUGUUCCAGCAGCUCCACAGACAGUGUCCAGUGCCCAGUAGGAAGGAAUCCAAACAGUUUUAAUAUUACAUUUGAAAUUUUAAUUGAAAAACUCUUCUGACAGCUGUAUGUUAUAACUAAUAAGCAAUAUGACCACAUACCACAAUUCAAAGGAAA
rnacentral:lncRNA from 1 species